rfam:Ictidomys tridecemlineatus contig096672, whole genome shotgun sequence.
UGGAGUGUGGCUCAGUGGUACAGCUCUUACCUGGUAUGCACAAGGCCCUGGGUUCGAUCCCUAGCACUGCAA